rnacentral:rRNA from 1 species
UACGAAGGGUGCAAACGUUGCUCGGAAUUAUUGGGCGUAAAGCGCACGUAGGCGGCAUUGCAAGUCGGAUGUGAAAUCCCUUGGCUUAACCAAGGAAGUGCAUCCGAAACUGCAGUGCUUGAGUACUUAAGAGGAUCGCGGAAUUCCCGGUGUAGAGGUGAAAUUCGUAGAUAUCGGGAGGAACACCAGUGGCGAAGGCGGCGAUCUGGGAAGAUACUGACGCUGAGGUGCGAAAGCGUGGGGAGCAAACAGG